UACAGAGGGUGCGAGCGUUGUUCGGAAUUACUGGGCGUAAAGGGCGCGUAGGCGGAUACUUAAGUCGGGGGUGAAAGCCCGGGGCUCAACCUCGGAAUUGCCUUCGAUACUGGGUAUCUUGAGUUCGGGAGAGGUGAGUGGAAUGCCGAGUGUAGAGGUGAAAUUCGUAGAUAUUCGGCGGAACACCAGUGGCGAAGGCGACUCACUGGCCCGAUACUGACGCUGAUGCGCGAAAGCGUGGGGAGCAAACAGG
rnacentral:rRNA from 1 species